GAAACCAUUGAGCAAACUUGGAAGACUGGGCCGUGCAAGGGCUCCCUGUCUCACCUGCUUUAACAUCCUGAUGCUCAAUGAAACCAGACGAACCAACACCAUUUAGUGUCAGUGCACUGCCAAAGAGCUUGUCAAGGAUCGAGGUUGAAUGGUUUGGACUGGAUUCACCCACAACUUUACUCCCCGUGACAUCCUUAGCAUCAAGCUCUAUUACUUCACUGUUCUCUGAAGUCUCAAAAGCUGCCGAAAGUUUAGAAGUCUUGUAAUAUUGACUAUCCAUGCCGACUGCUUCACUUGAAACAACCAACGCUGAUGACAAAUUCAGAAUCUUUUCACUUUGGUUGACUGCAACAUGAAUAAUUGGACCGCUAUGCUGCUGCUCUCUUGAAUCCAUCUGUUCUAGAAAUUGUUUCUCCUCUACAUUAUUAGAUGUCCCACUAAGUGAAUGGUUUCCUUUGGUAUGCAAAUGGCUACUCUCGUGUUCAUUGCCAAUCUCUGAUGGUUGAGGGUGAAUCAAAGAUUUUAUUCCAAUAUUCUUCUCCACUAUAGUGCUUGAAAACCCUGGAGGCACAAGAGGUCUAGAUACAGGAGCUGGUGAGGGAAAGGAAGACUUAUCAGAAUCAGUAAUUGAAGAAGGCUGUGUCACCGCUUCAUCUGAUUCAUUUUUUCUAAUCACAAGUCUCUUAUCAUCUUUUGGAUCCUUCAUCAACUCACUAAUAUCGAAGUCAUCCUUACCCUUCUCUGGAUUCAACUUCUGCUUUUCUUGAAAAGCUUUAUGUUGUUCCUUCCUCAUCAGUUCAAAGGA
rnacentral:misc_RNA from 1 species